AUGAGCACCGCAGUUUAAAUCAUCUCACAAUAGAUUCACGAAACAAGUGGAAAACUCGAGAAAUAAAACUGCUUUUAAUGAAGACUGUGAGAAAGUUAAACUUUAUAAACCGCGUUAUGAGACGAGAUGAUGAGAGACUGAAUCUUUCCCCUCAGAGGAACAUUUAUUUCUUUGUUCUUUAAUGUAAAUUUCUCCUCGACCGUUCUCCAGACGUGGACAACUAUUCUGAAGACAAUGACAGUUAUUCUUCAGAGCAGGAGGUCAGUGAUGAUGCCGUUCAGGGUCAGUGGAUAUGAACAGAAGUUCAGAUGCGUCUAUAGCGCUUCACUCUACAGCUGUUGUAAGUCCACAUUUUUGAUUAUGACACAUGUAUAAAUGUGACUAUUACACUUUACUAAUAGUACAGAAACACAACAUAUAGAUAUAAAUGACACAAUGAUUAUGAUCACUGAACUGAAUCCACUGUACUGUGAUUCUCUGUCACACAUCAGUUCACAUGUGUUAUCGUCACCGUGUAUCUGAUGUGUCUUAAGUGGUCGUUGUCACGGCUACAUGUCUGUUUCUGUGGCUGUGUGCUAGUGUUUGUUUGUGUGUGCAGGAGCAGACGGCCGGGGGGGAUGUCACAUGUGACGGGGAUGUGAACGCAGACAAAUCAGCAGCAAACAUCGGCAAACUCUGCAAGGCCGAGUCUCAUGUUGUGUUCACACCAAACGCGAAUGACGCGUAUAAACCGCGCUAUUCGCGCGUAGUUGGACGCUUGAACAUUUUAAGUUUAUACGCUUUAUUCGCGCGUCAAAUUCGCGUCAUUCGCGCGUCAAAUUCGCUCCAUUCGCGCGUCAAAUUCGCGUCAUGGGAGGGCUUCUGGCUGGCGGCUUCAGUCUCAUUUCGAAAUGGCGGACAUGGAUUUUGUUGAGAGGGUAGCUGCGCUUUAUGUGCUAUGGACGGCUGAAAAACGGCAUAAACUCGUUCGGCACCGCGUCUGGGUCCAUCCGAUCCUUCGGAGGCGCACCCAGCUUGGUGAGUUUCACCAACUCCUUCAGGAGCUGCGCCUGGAUGACGGCCGCUUUCAGCGGUACUUCCGGCUGAGCACGUCCCAGUUUGAAGACCUGUUGUCCCGUGUCGGUGGGAGGAUUUCCCUCCAGGACACCAACUACCGGCGCUGUAUUCCACCUGCAGAGCGCCUAUCAAUCUGUCUCCGAUAUCUUGCAACUGGAGACUCAUUCCGGACCAUCGCCAGCAGCUUCCGUGUUGGUGUCUCCACAGUCUGCAUGAUUGUCCCAGACGUGGCGACUGCGAUCUGGGACUGCUUAGUGGAGGAGUUCAUGGCUGUGCCCUCCACAGAUGAAUGGAGGUCCAUUGCAGAGGGUUUUGAGGACAGGUGGAACUUCCCGCUUUGCUGUGGAGCACUGGACGGCAAGCACGUCCUGAUAAAGGCACCCCCCAAAACAGGAUCCCAGUUCUUCAACUACAAGGGAACUUUUUCUCUUGUUCUCCUUGCUGUUGUGGAUGCAAGGUACUGUUUUCGGGUGAUUGAUGUCGGGGGAUAUGGCCGGACGAGCGAUGGUGGGACUCUAUCCAACUCAGCCUUUGGCCAGGCACUCCGUGGUGGCACCCUCCAUCUGCCACCUGACCGCCCUCUCCCAGGAGCUGACCACAGAGGACCUCAGCCCCAUGUCUUUGUUGCAGAUGAGGCCUUUCCCCUCAGGAAAAACCUCAUGAGGCCAUUUCCUGGACGCACCCUUCCUCGAGAGAGACGGGUCUUUAAUUACCGUCUCUCCAGAGCCCGGUUGGUGGUGGAGAAUGCUUUCGGGAUCCUGUCCUCACAGUGGAGGAUGUAUCGCCGCCUCAUAGAGGUUCAGCCUGCUGUUUUGGAGAGGUGUGUGAAGGCAACGUGUGUCCUCCACAACUUUCUUAGGAGAUCUGAAGAGGCAACUGCUGUGAGGGUGGCGGUGCAAGGUGCAGAGGAGUCCCUGCAGAGUCUCGGUCGGGUUGCAGCCAAUAAUUCUUCCAGAGAGGCCAUCCGGGUCAGGGACAGUUUCAUGGCUCACUUUUCUGCCGAGGGAGCAGUCCCGUGGCAGCCGACUGAAUAGUUUUUGUUCAUUACAUACUGUGCUAUUUAUGUCCUUUAUGUUUAGCUCUGAUAAUUAUUCCCAUCCUUUUGUUUUUCUUUUGAUUUCCACACUUUAAAUAUUAGAUUAGAUUAGAUUAGAUUAGAUUCAACUUUAUUGUCAUUACACAUAUACAAGUACAGUGUAACGAAAUGUAGUUUAGGUCUAACCAGAAGUGCAAUUAGCAAGUGCAGAUAUACAGUUUCUGCUUGACCUUAGUGCUGCUUUCGAUACUGUAGACCAUAAAAUACUACUAGAUCCUUUACACAGUUAUAUCGGUAUUCAGGGACAGGCACUGCAAUGGUUCAGAUCUUACUUAACAGACCGAUAUCAAUACGUCCAUUUAAAUGGGAAAUCAUCAAAUCUUACGCAAGUAAAUUACGGAUUACCUCAGGGAUCGGUCUUAGGACCCUUGCUUUUCUCCAUAUACAUGCUGCCCCUCGGCAACAUUAUUAAAAAACAUGGAAUUAGCUUCCACUGUUAUGCAGAUGAUACUCAGCUAUAUAUCUCAUCAAGACCAGAUGAUUCCUUUAAGCUAUCCAAACUGGCAGAGUGCAUCGAGGACAUAAAACAUUGGAUGACUAGUAAUUUCCUCCUUUUAAACUCUAGCAAAACAGAAAUAUUACUUAUAGCACCAAAAUCAAGUAAACAGAAUAUCUCCGACUACAGCCUGCAAAUUGAAAGCUGCACUGUUACUCCAACAAAUACAGUUAAAGACCUAGGCGUUAUAUUAGAUGACAACCUGUCUUUUAAAAAUCACAUCUCAAAUAUCACAAAAACAGCCUUCUUCCACCUUAGAAAUGUUGCCAAAUUACGAAAUAGUUUGUGUUGCAGACGCA